AUAACAUCCGGAAACGGGUGCUAAUACCGCAUAGGUUUCUUGAUCGCAUGAUUGAGAAAGGAAAGACGGCCUUUGUGCUGUCGCUUAUGGAUGGACCCGCGGCGUAUUAGUUAGUUGGUGAGGUAAUGGCUCACCAAGACGAUGAUACGUAGCCGACCUGAGAGGGUGAUCGGCCACAUUGGGACUGAGACACGGCCCAAACUCCUACGGGAGGCAGCAGUAGGGAAUCUUCCGCAAUGGACGAAAGUCUGACGGAGCAACGCCGCGUGAGUGAAGAAAAGGUUUUCGGAUCGUAAAACUCUGUUGUCAGAGAAGAACAAGUUGGAGAGUAACUGCUCCAGCCUUGACGGUAUCUGACCAGAAAGCCACGGCUAACUACGUGCCAGCCGCGGC
rnacentral:rRNA from 1 species